GUCGUGCCUUUAGGGAUCUCUAGGUUUCCUAAUUUCAUAUCUUCUGAUGCUAAUCGGAGCACAUUUAACACUGGUCCGUAUAGACGAAGUGACUCCAUAAACACCAUGUUCAUCUGCAAUAAUUAUUUGUAGUUAGAUCAAAAAUAAAAUAAAAAAGGUUUCUUCGGCCGCAAGAAACUCCUUUGAAAUUUGCAUUUACCAGUUUGAGUUUGGCGCAUGUCUCUGAAUCUGGGAUUUUGUCUUUACCGCAUUCGUUGAAAACUUCUUCUCUGAGUUUCUCUUGCCAAUCUUGGUGCAAGCUAAGCAACAUUGUACUCCAUGUCAAUAGAUUCGCAGUUGUUUCGUGUCCUGCGAAGAAGAACGUCUUGCAUUCUUCUAUGAUCUCAUCAAUGCUCAUCUUUUUCUCAGACUCGUUAGAGCUUGCAGCUGUUAACAUGAUUCCCAGAAGAUCAUUUCCGUAAUUCUUGGAUUCCGAUUUUAGCCUCGCAUCUAUGAUUCUUUUGGUCGAGCUAUUCACUUUCCUAUCAAGCUUCCAUAUUUGAAGAUUCGAAGGCGUAGGAAGGUACCUUGGGAUACAAGAAAGAAAACAAAUCACUAGAACAAGAAAGAAGUUUUAAAAGUGGAAGAGUGAUUAUACUGAAACUUACUGG
rnacentral:lncRNA from 1 species